ACUUUAGUCUGGCACUGUAAGGAGACAUGAGAGGUGUAGCAUAAGUGGGAGAUGGUAACAUCGCCGGUGAAAUACCACAACUUUCAUCGUUCCCUUACUUACUCGGUUAGGCGGAGCGCGUGCCCCGAGGGCCUCGCGCCCCGGUGGUCACGGUGUUCUAGAGCCAAGCGUGUCAGAGUGGCGUGAGGCCUCAGCCGAUCGCCGUUUAUACUCCCGCGUGAUCCGAUUCGAGGACACUGCCAGGCGGGGAGU
rnacentral:ncRNA from 1 species